GAAAUAAAUUAAUAAAGCUUCUAACUUUAACUCUAGAUAUUAAAAUUAUCUUUAUUUCU
rnacentral:tRNA from 1 species